rnacentral:ncRNA from 1 species
UGAAGUUUUGGUCCUAGACUCAAUAUUAAUUUUAACUAAACUUAUACAUGCAAGUCUCAGCACUCCGGUGAGUAUAUCCUGAAUAAAUUAUAAUUUAUUUAUGAACUGGUAUCAGGCACAUUAAAUUAAUAGCCCACAACACCUAGCUCAGCCACACCCACAAGGGACAUCAGCAGUAACAAACAUUAUAAAAUAAGCGCAAGCUUGAAUUAAUUAUAGUUAAAAGAGUUGGUAAAUCUCGUGCCAGCCACCGCGGUUAUACGAGUGACUCACAUUAAUAUUCUUCGGCGUAAAGAGUGGUUAAAAGUAAAUAAAAUUAAAGUUAAGACUUUGUUAAACUGUUAUACGUUUACACAAACUAAAAAACUCACCAACGAAAGUGACUUUAUAGCCUUUGAACCCACGACAAUUAAAACCCAAACUAGGAUUAGAUACCCUACUAUGUUUAAUUAUAAAUAAAUUACAUAUACUAAACCAUUCGCCAGAGAACUACAAGCGCUAGCUUCAAACCCAAAGGACUUGGCGGUUCUUCAAAACCACCUAGAGGAGCCUGUUCUAUAACCGAUAAUCCGCGUUAAACCUCACCACUUCUUGCCAUAACAGCCUAUAUACCGCCGUCGCCAGCUCACCUUAUGAAAGAACAACAGUAAGCACAAAGAACAUCACAUUCAACACGUCAGGUCGAGGUGUAGCAAAUGAAGUGGAAAGAAAUGGGCUACAUUUUCUAUUAAGAAAAAACGGACAAAUACAUGAAAAAUAUUUUAAAGGUGGAUUUAACAGUAAGAAUAAAUAAGAACAUUAUUCUGAAGCCGGCCCUGAAGAAUGCACACACCGCCCGUCACUCUCCUCAAAAAUAAACCAUUAUUAUAAAUAAUAAAACUAAUAAUACAAGAGGAGGCAAGUCGUAACAUGGUAAGUGUACUGGAAGGUGCACUUAGAAUAAU